UAGACAUUUUAGAGAGCCCUACUUGGAGGU
rnacentral:piRNA from 1 species